AAAGAUCAGCCAUGCAUGUCUAAGUAUAAGCAAUUAUACAGCGAAACUGCGAAUGGCUCAUUAUAUAAGUUAUCGUUUAUUUGAUAGUGCCUUACUACUUGGAUAACCGUGGUAAUUCUAGAGCUAAUACAUGCUGAAAGCCCCGACUCGCGGAGGGGCGUAUUUAUUAGAUUAAAAACCAAUGCCCUUCGGGGCUCCCUGGUGAUUCAUGAUAACUUCUCGAAUCGCACGGCCUUGCGCCGGCGAUGGUUCAUUCAAAUUUCUUCCCUAUCAACUUUCGAUGUUUGGGUAGUGGCCAAACAUGGUGGCAACGGGUAACGGAGGGUUAGGGCUCGACCCCGGAGAAGGAGCCUGAGAAACGGCUCCUACAUCCAAGGAAGGCAGCAGGCGCGCAAAUUACCCAAUCCCAACUCGGGGAGGUAGUGACAAUAAAUACUGAUGCAGGGCUCUUUAGGGCCUUGCAAUCGGAAUGAGUACAAUUUAAAUCUCUUAACGAGGAACAAUUGGAGGGCAAGUCUGGUGCCAGCAGCCGCGGUAACUCCAGCUCCAAUAGCGUAUAUUAAAGUUGUUGUGGUUAAAAAGCUCGUAGUUGAACCUUGGAUCUGGCCGUCCGGUCCGCCUCACCGCGUGCACUGGCACGGCCGGAUCUUCCCACCGCGGAAUCGCAUGCCCUUUACUGGGCGUGUCGGGGAAGCGGUACUUUUACUGUGAAAAAAUUAGAGUGCUCUAAGCAGGCCUAUGCUCGAAUACAUUAGCAUGGAAUAAUAGAAUAGGACAGGCGUUCUAUUUUGUUGGUUUCUAGGACGUCUGUAAUGAUUAACAGAAACAAUCGGGGGCGUCAGUAUUGCAUCGUCAGAGGUGAAAUUCUUAGAUCGAUGCAAGACUAACUACUGCGAAAGCAUUCGCCAAGGGUGUUUUCAUUAAUCAGGAACGAAAGUUAGGGGAUCGAAGACGAUCAGAUACCGUCGUAGUCUUAACCAUAAACUAUGCCGACUAGGGAUCGGGCGGUGUUAAUUUUUGACCCGCUCGGCACCUUACGAGAAAUCUCAAGUGCUUGGGCUCCAGG
rnacentral:rRNA from 1 species